AGCCGAGUCCCCUCCUCCCUGCUGCCUUCCCGGCGGCGGCGGGGGCGGUCGCGGGCGGCCGAGCCGCUCGGGGCCCGGCAGCGCUGCCCAUGGGGGAGUGCGGGGUGUCCCCCCAGGUCCAGCUCUUCCUCCGCGCCUGCGAGCAGGGCGACUGCGAGACCGCCCGACGCCUCCUGGGGCUGCCCGACGACGGCGGCUCCGCCGACCCUGCGGCCCCCUCCUCCUCCUCGUGCGGCCCUGAGGAGGUGGCGGCGGAGCCCCGCGGCGAAGCGUCGUCCCCGCCGACCCCCGCCGUGCCCGUGGACUGCACGGACGAGGCCGGCAACACGGGGCUGCAGUUCGCCGCGGCGGGGGGCCACGAGCAGCUGGUGCGGUUCCUGCUGCGGAAGGGCGCCUCGGUGCAGAGCAGGAACCACUACGGAUGGAGCCCCCUCAUGCAAGCGGCCAGGUUUGGACAUCUAAAUGUGGCCCACAUCUUGCUGGAGAAUGGUGCUGAUCUCAAUGCACAGAACAAGUUAGGAGCCAGUGUCCUCACAAUGGCUUCCAGAGGUGGUCACAUCAGCAUGGUGAAAUUCUUGCUGGAAUCCGGAGCUUUUGUGGACAAUUAUGACCAUUUUAGCACAAAUGUACUUAGCAGCAGCAGAGAUGACCUUCCUGAUAUCACUCCACUGAUGGCAGCUGCUCAGCAUGGGCAUGAGGCAGUAGUACAUCUGCUGCUAGACUGGGGAGCUGAUUGUAACUACUCUUUAAAGACAAUAGGCUGGAGUCCUUUAAUGCUGGCAGCUGUUAGUGGAAAGGUGUGCUUGGCACAGCAGCUCAUAGAGAAAGGUGCCAAUCCUGAUCACUUGAAUGUACUACAUAAAACACCUUUUGAAAUCUCUGUUGGUUUCAAACACAAAGACAUGAAGGACUAUUUGGAAUCUCUCACAACCAUCAGGCCUCAGGCAGAUUCAGAAAAGAGUCAACCUGAUGUCUUUCAUGCUUUGAAACUGGGAAACUUUCAGCUGGUUAAAGAGAUCAUUGAUGAAGAUCUGAGUCAGGUUAAUAUUACCAAUGUUGACGGUGCAUCUCCUUUAAUGAUUGCAGCUGUAACUGGACAGCUGCCCCUUGUUCAGCUCCUUGUUGAGAAAAAGGCUGAUAUUGAUAAACAGGAUAAUGUUCAUGGCUGGACAGCACUAAUGCAGGCCACAUACCAUGGAAACAAAAAUGUUGUCAAGUACUUGUUAAAUCAGGGAGCUGAUGUUAACCUUCGUGCAAGAAAUGGAUACACAGCUUUUGACCUGAUAAUGCUGCUGAAUGAUCCAGACACAGAGCUUGUAAGGUUACUGGCAUCAGCAUGCAUGCAAGUAGAUAAAGACAAGAAUAAACUGAACAACAGAUCAUCUCUGCCUUGUUCCAGAAGCAGGCAAUCCUUAAAUGUCCCAAUGUUGCCAGAUGACAAAGGAGGCCUAAAGUCCUGGUGGAGCAGGAUGUCCAAUCGAUUCCGCAAGCUGAAGUUGACUCAGACAUUGCGCCAUGGGUUUCCUUCUAAUGAGUUUGUGCCUUUUCCGGAUGAGACCGAACCAUCAUUAAAUUGCACUAUAAAAGUAGCCUCACAGAGUGAUACAGACACCUCUGGAAACCUUGAUGCUGCUACAGCUUGGACCACAAAUAACAAAGCUAGUGGUGCAAACACUUCGAAAGGCGGAAAGGAUGAUGAAUUAUUGACAACUAUGCUGAGGAGUAGUGCUCCAUUUACCAGGCUGCCCAGUGAUAAGCUGAAAGCAGUGAUACCACCUUUCUUACCACCCUCAAGCUUUGAACUUUGGAAUUCUGAUCGAACCCGACUCAGCAAAGAUGGCAAAGCUGAACAGAUGAGAACUGCCUGGCCACAGAGAGCAAUCAAGCACGAUUUUAACAGCAGUGGGAACUCUGAUACAACAUCUGUUAACAAAGGUAAUACUAGGCCAGUCAAGUUAUCAACGUUUACAAGAAGACCAGCAUCUCCUUCAAAUUCCAACAACUUCAACCAUUCUCCCCAUUCUUCUGGUGGUUCCAAUAACAUUGCAGGAAUUAACAGACAUGGAGGAGAACUGCAUAACAGAUCAGGUGGCAGUGCAGAUAACGUUUUGUCUCAGAUUGCAGCCCAAAGAAGAAAAGCAGCAGGCUUACCUGAACAGAAACCGAGCCAACAGUCCAGUCCAGUCCAGUCAACUCCUUCAUCUACCAUGUCGGAUUUGCAGAGUGCUCAGAUUGUUGGCAAUGGACAUGUUGUAAAGCAAAAACUGGAGAUGAGCAAAAGACCUCCAUCUGGGACUUCAUCUACGUCUAAAAGCACAUCACCAACUCUCACACCUUCUCCAUCACCUUCCCCAUCUCCUAAGGUUCAAAAUGCAGAGUCUUCCGUCUCUUCUUCUCACAGACAUGCCAAGAGCAACGGCUCCAGCAGUGGUACUAUUACAGAGGAUGGCAACCACUUGGUGGAUCAUCAACAGCUUGGCCCUAUUCUGAGAGCCAGUGAUGUAGAGAAUCAAGAAAGACGAAACCAUGUUAGAGUGAAAGAAGGCUCUGAAAACUUGGAGAAAGAUGAGCUGACUGGCAUCCUUAAAAAAUUGUCACUUGAGAAAUAUCAGCCUAUAUUUGAGGAACAGGAGGUAGAUAUGGAAGCUUUCCUCACACUUACUGAUGGUGAUUUGAAAGAGCUGGGUAUUAAAACAGAUGGAUCAAGGCAGCAAAUUUUGGCAGCUAUUUCUGAACUGAAUGCAGGAAAGGGUCGAGAGAGACAGAUUUUACAAGAAACUAUACACAACUUCCACUCUUCCUUUGAGAGUAGUGUUAGUAACACACGACAGCCAGGUCAUUCCCAAUCAUAGUCAGCAUGUGUGGGAACUUCUGGAUGUCUCUUGGUAACAUCCCAGAGCUGAAGAGCCUCUUCUGUAGGUAUUACUAGGUGAGCAGAAGCUGUUUGGGAUUUGAUUACGUGGUGCAAAGAAGUGGAAUUACUCAAGAACCAAAGAAGCAUAGAGGUGUAAUGUGUCUCCAAGCAACUUUCUGACCUUAAAUGUCUUGAAGACAUCAAAGGAAAAGAAUGGUGGCUCAGAGUUGGGGAGCAUAUCCUUUUGUAAUAAUGGAGGCAGCAGUUGCUCCUGUUGAGCUUUUGACAAGAUGCUGCAAGAAGGAUGCCAUAAGAGAUCAGGCUUUUGGGUUUUUGUGUGUAAGAGCUCCAUGAUAUAGAUUUGGCUGUGAAACAGAAACACUAACAGAGAAGAGGAAGAGAACAUGUAGCUAAAAGAAGUUCCUGCACCAGCUCCUGGCUGCUCUUUAAAACCACAGGAUGUCAUUUCUUCUAAAAGGUAGCUACUGGAACAAAAGUGUUUUGUUUUUUUUUUUAUAGUGAAGUUUGGCAUCUGACUAAGUAAAUCCGUACAAAUCCUUACCAUUGAAAAUUUGAAGUUAGUUCUGACUACACUGACAUAGGAUUUUCUGCAGUAAAAUGCUUAAAAUACAAAACCCACAGAAAGUCAGAGAAAACAAUAAAAAGAUUGUUUCUAUAGUUCAACAUAAGUGUUGAAAUGUUCAAGGCAUCAGUGGUCUGGGUUUAAGAAGAGCAAAAUGAGAAGAGUAGGAAGAAUGGAUGAACAUACAAGAAGAUGGAUGUUUCAUUCCACUCUUGCCCAUAGAUGAAGAGCCCAUGGGAGAUCUACAUGGGCAUGGGCAAGAGCAACAAAAGCAUGGAAGAAGCCAAGAAGGCCACCACAAAUUGUGACAUCUUCUACAUGGGGAAGUACAUAAGCUGAAUAUGCCUCUAUUGAUUGGAUACAGAUAAAGGAGUCCAGAUUGAAAAUGUAAUGAUUUCAUGGGACGAAAUCUAAAGAAGUAAUGCUGCAUUCUUCAGUAACCAAAAAUAUACUUUAUCCAAUAUUAUGAGGUUAGAACAGCAGUAAAAGUAAAAACAAAAUACCUAUUUGUAAAAACAGCACUUUAUUUGAGGAAAUGCAUGAUCUGUCACCAAUAUUUAAACAGAAAGAAUGUUAAAAUAUUUUAUAUUGUUGAUUUUUUUUUGAGAAUAAAACUAUUUACGUGAUAUUGGCUGUUUUUUUGUUAAAUAGUAACACUAGCAUAUCCUUAAAAAAACAUUUUUACAACUUGAUUUUGUAGCAAUUUUGUAAUGAAAGUUACGGUAAUUACAAGUAGAAAUAAUUUUCUGCUUAGUAAAUACCAUUUUUGUUAAGCAGUUAAAAUGCAAAUCAUCAGGACUUAAAAGUCAUCAGAAGCUUCCGACAUUAUAUUUAUCUUUCUGAAGACUCAAGUACUGCAGAUAAAGGCAAGAAGAUCUUGGAGCUCAAAUUACUUGAGUGCUCUCAGUACAUAACAAAAUAUUUUAUGUUUCUCCAUGCUCCUCGCUGUACUGACAGCUCAUGGCUACUUUUUUUGCCUUUGGGAGGAGGUAAGUUUGAGACAGAGUCCUGUAUUGUGUGUCUGUGUCAGGGCUGGCACGGGCAGCUCUUUAAACUCUGGUGUAGACAGCAGGGGUCUGGUCAGUACCAUCACCGGGCCUCAAACCCCAGUAUCUCACUGGGCUAGACCAGAAGUUUGAUUCAGUUAUCCAGACCUCCACUGGCAUUUGCCAGGCCCUAAGGCAUCCAGAGCACCUAGAAGGGAUGCCAGACAUGACACUACAUGAGGGUUAUGAUCAGGUGGUUUGUUGCCGCCGCUUGAACAAAGAGACCAUUCAGAGAUGGAGACUGUAAUUUAUUGACUUGUCCUGAUUUGUCAUAGAUUUUCAAAGGUGAAAAGCUUUUUUUUUUGUUUUUUUGUUACUGUUUGCUGUUCAUUUUCUGUGUCCUUUUCAGUUUAAAUGAAAACCUUUGUUAGUAAACUUUGCUUAUGUCAUAAUGAAAAGUGAUACCUUCUGGGUUUUGCGGAAGGAGGAAAUCCUACAAAAACCAGUUCUUGUUAUGAUUCAGUCUAGUGUUACAGACUAUUGACUAAUCUGUAGUUAUUAACCUAAGAUUUUGCUGAGGAGUACUGUUAUUUUACAAGAAGCUUUUAUAAGUUUCUUUGAAUUUAAUUUUCUUUUUCUGCACUUGGAGCAUUAAUGAAGAUGAGAUUUUAAAUAAAGAUACUUUGUU